rnacentral:rRNA from 1 species
UGAACGCUAGCGGCAGGCCUAACACAUGCAAGUCGAGGGGUAACAGGAAGAAGCUUGCUUCUUCGCUGACGACCGGCGCACGGGUGCGUAACACGUAUGCAACCUACCUCUUACUGAGGGAUAGCCCAGAGAAAUUUGGAUUAAUACCUCAUAACACCACAGAAUCGCAUGAUUUCGUGGUUAAAGGUUACGGUAAGAGAUGGGCAUGCGGACUAUUAGUUUGUUGGUGAGGUAAUGGCUCACCAAGACUACGAUGGUUAGGGGGUCUGAGAGGAUUAUCCCCCACACUGGUACUGAGACACGGACCAGACUCCUACGGGAGGCAGCAGUGAGGAAUAUUGCGCAAUGGACGAAAGUCUGACGCAGCCAUGCCGCGUGAAGGAUGACGGCGCUACGCGUUGUAAACUUCUUUUAUAUACCAAGAAACCUUCGGACGUGUCCGAAACUGACGGUAGUAUAUGAAUAAGCACCGGC